AAGUAAAAAGCGAAUCGCAGUCAGUUUCGACCUGACCUUUGAUAUAAUUAUCUUUACUUA
rnacentral:tRNA from 1 species